rnacentral:rRNA from 1 species
CACGUAGGGGACGAGCGUUGUCCGGAUUCACUGGGCGUAAAGAGCGCGUAGGCGGCUCGGAAAGUCGGUCGUGAAAUCCUGGGGCUCAACCCCGGAACUGCGUCCGAUACUUCCGAGCUGGAGGCAGGUAGGGGAGAUCGGAAUUCCACGUGUAGCAGUGAAAUGCGUAGAGAUGUGGAGGAACACCGAUGGCGAAGGCAGCCCCCUGGGUCAAGAUUGACGCUCAUGCACGAAAGCGUGGGGAGCAAACAGG